AUCUAAAUAAAGUAAAAUAACAAUAUAAAAUAAAAUGAAAUAAAAUAAAAUUAUAAAAAUAAAAAUAUAACAAAUUAAACACUAAAAAUAAAAAAUAAAUAUUAAAAACACAAAAAAUAAAAAUAAAAAUAAAAUAAAAUAAUAAAAUAAAAAAUAAAAUAAAAAUAAAAAUAAAAUAAAAUAAAAAUAAAAUAAAAUAAAAUAAAAUAAAAUAAAAUAAAAUAAAAUAAAUAAUCCCCUUUGGGAGCGGAGGCUCGGGGGUUCCCAGGGGCGUCCGUGGACGAGGAUUCAUAAAAAAAUAUCUCUGAGAGUGUGAGCUAAAAAUAGACCCGGGGGGGAGGGGAAUGGAAGGUUCUGGAAGGUCCUGGAGGCGCCCAGAGGGGCCUCAGAGCCCUCCUGGAGCUCCUGGAGGUUCUGGAGAAGUUCUGGAGCUCCUGGAGCGGAUCCAGAUGAGUCCUCAGAGCAGUUCUGGAGGAGUUCCAGAGGUUCUUGGAGGCCUUUGAGUGGUUCUGGAUGGUCCUGGAGGGGAUCCAGAGGGUCCUCAGAG
rnacentral:lncRNA from 1 species